CAUUAGCUAGUUGGUGAGGUAACGGCUCACCAAGGCCACGAUGCAUAGCCGACCUGAGAGGGUGAUCGGCCACAUUGGGACUGAGACACGGCCCAAACUCCUACGGGAGGCAGCAGUAGGGAAUCUUCGGCAAUGGACGAAAGUCUGACCGAGCAACGCCGCGUGAGUGAAGAAGGUUUUCGGAUCGUAAAACUCUGUUGUUAGAGAAGAACAAGGAUGAGAGUAACUGUUCAUCCCUUGACGGUAUCUAACCAGAAAGCCACGGCUAACUACGUGCCAGCAGCCGCGGUAAUACGUAGGUGGCAAGCGUUGUCCGGAUUUAUUGGGCGUAAAGCGAGCGCAGGCGGUUUCUUAAGUCUGAUGUGAAAGCCCCCGGCUCAACCGGGGAGGGUCAUUGGAAACUGGGAGACUUGAGUGCAGAAGAGGAGAGUGGAAUUCCAUGUGUAGCGGUGAAAUGCGUAGAUAUAUGGAGGAACACCAGUGGCGAAGGCGGCUCUCUGGUCUGUAACUGACGCUGAGGCUCGAAAGCGUGGGGAGCAAACAGGAUUAGAUACCCUGGUAGUCCACGCCGUAAACGAUGAGUGCUAAGUGUUGGAGGGUUUCCGCCCUUCAGUGCUGCAGCUAACGCAU
rnacentral:rRNA from 1 species